rnacentral:lncRNA from 1 species
CACUAAUACACAAAUUAUAUUAAGACCAAGAAGGAGAGUUUUCAAAAGCAGCAGACCUGACCUAAGCUAUGACAACUCAUGAUCACAAGUUUUUUAAGGAGCUUUUGAAAAUCACAGCCAAAAGGUUUUAUUUUGUUUUGCUCUAAGCACAGUCAGGAGCAUAGACCUGCUAGGGUGUGGAGGAGGUGUUGCUUGAAUGUAUUACUGGAGUGAAUCUCCACAGUGGCUACCUGGUUCUCAUGCCAGGUUGUCCUGCCCUCCCAAGGGGUGCAGCUUCUGUGACAAAGCACAACUUAAGGACAUAAAGUAAUAAGGAACCAAAGGAAUUGUAUGGCAGCUGAGAAGCUAGGAAUAAUAAUUUCAAAUUUCCUUGCCAAAGUCCUACGCAGGACUACCAGCAUACAGAACCAUCUUCAUUGAUGGGCACCUCAACUAUGGUCACCCUGUGUGACAUGGGGACAGUCCCAGGCCUCCUGAGCUGAUCCACGUUUAAAGACCUCCCUCUGGUCUCUGGGUUUGGUUCCCAAUCUGUACCUUUAUGUUGCUCUGUGGUUAUUGGUGUCCAUCAGGAUGGGCACCGUUACAGGAAACCAGCAAAACAGAUGGAUAUUCUGAGUAGUGCACUGGAAAAUGGGACAAAAUUGGAUAUUGCUGUCUUCUGGAGAAACAACAUAUCUCAGCUUGCUGGAGCUACUACCAGGUCAUGCAACACCAGAAUUAGCAAGAGCUUAAAGCCUGACUGCUUUUGGAAAUGUCUGAAGGUUGUGAGUUCUCAUGGCUUUUCUGAAGGUGCAAGUAGACAGGUUCGGCAAGCUAGAAUUGGCACAGGUUUGACCAGAGGUCCUUCCUUCUACGCUUCAGGUUGUGUGGACAUUGAAGGUUGUGAGGUGAGAAUACACCUGACACACAAAUGUUUUACCAGAUAUCUUCCAUGGCAGAGUCGCAAGGCAUAUAUAUUGCUCCCUGUGUUAACAAAAUUAGCCUAGGUUCUCUGUUUGCUUGAAUAACUGUACCAUGACCUGAUUCAUGCUAAUUUUCACCAGCUGAGAUCUGAUUGCAUCCUGGUUAUCCUGCUUUGUUCCUGGUAAUUAGAACAACCCCUUGAUAGAGCAACUGCUCUUCUGCUGCUUAUUUUGUUGUUGUUGCUGUUUUUUUGUUGUUGUUUGUUUUUUCCUGUGCUCAGGAAAGGCUAAGCCUUGCAGUAGCUGUUGCCUGUGUUUUCAGAGCCAUGCUAUCAGAAGGCUCUGUGGUGUGCACUCCCCUGUACAGCCUCACUUGCUUUUGGCAACGAACCAAGACCCUCCAGAACUGACAACUAUAAUAGAAGAUAAUGCAUUACACCUACUAAUUUGUGGAUUGCUGCACAGCAGUUUACCUAUUUAAAUUUUUCUAUGGGACUGGGGACUGGCAUGGAUUUCCAACAGCUGUUUCCAAUAGUCAACACUUUCAAAAGUUAAUAAAGCUUGCUGCAAAUUUACCA